GAUGGAAGAACGUAGCGAAAUGCGAUAAGUAAUGUGAAUUGCAGAAUCCAGUGAAUCAUCGAAUCUUUGAACGCACAUUGCGCCCGCCAGCAUUCUGGCGGGCAUGCCUGUUCGAGCGUCAUUUCAACCCUCGACCUCCCUUUGGGGAAGUCGGCGUUGGGGACCGGCAGCACACCGCCGGCCCUGAAAUGGAGUGGCGGCCCGUCCGCGGCGACCUCUGCGUAGUAAACCAACUCGCACCGGAACCCCGACGUGGCCACGCCGUAAAACACCCAACUUCUGAACGUUGACCUCGAAUCAGGUAGGACUACCCGCUGAACUUAAGCAUAUCAAUAAGCGGAGGA
rnacentral:misc_RNA from 1 species